CGAGUGUUAGUGUUUUGUUGUGUUCCCAAUCCAAAAUCCCCGAAGCUUGUCCAUCCUUCAUGCUCACCUGCACUGUCGUGCUCAUCCCUACACUGUUGCUGUUGGGACUCGAUAUGUGAAUAAUAUGGCUGGGAUAGGGUGGCCUCAGAAUCAUCAUCUCUCUCAUUUUCUCUUAGACCCCCUUCCCACUCUCCCUCAUUAGGUGCAAUAUCACCGACAUCUCCGACGAAUUGUGGAUACGUUGGCUGGCUGCUUCCUCUUUCAUGCUGCUCAUCACUUUCUUCAAGAUCUUCAUCACCGAUAGCCUCAAGGAACGCUCUCUUGUGCAACACUGGCUCCUCCUCUU
rnacentral:lncRNA from 1 species